rnacentral:snoRNA from 14 species
UCUUUAAAAACAAAGAGGAGUUCUCAUUAGGUUUUCCAUAUGCUACUUGAGUAGCACUUAACCUGUUGGGAACAUUU